UCCUUAGGAUACUCUUCAGCCAGACUGGAGUGGGGAGAAGGCGAUGGGGGGGGGGGGGAACUAGGGAUAACGGGGAGAAAGAUCGGCUCUCUCAACCAAGGAAACCGGAAAACAGUGCCCCCUCCCUUGCCUGCGGGCUCCUCCUCGGACUCAGUGUACCCCAGAGAAGGGAUAGCACCCCCGAGGAAAGAAGGGGGUCCGGGUCCCACUGUCCUAGGUGAGGAUCCCUUCCUUGCCUUCCCACAAGUUCUGAUUUUUCAUUUCACUCUCCCUCCCGUUCCCCCCCCCCCCUUCUGUCCCCACUCCUGACAGCUGCCACGGAGAAAGAGGAAAGGAAGCCAAGGGCGACUCCAGUUUCCUCCGGUUAUGGUCUGGUGUUGUCGGCCACUUCGCCAUCGCGCCACAGUGAGCCUGCCCUUAGAACACCCCCACCCCACCUUCCAGCCCAAUUCAGACUCGGUUCGGUAAGUCCCGGAUGUUGAGGGUGCAGGGCGAGGCCAGAGCCGGUUCGAGUGAGCCCUAGGCGGGGCCAGAGAUGCGCCGGCUUCCGCGGCGGCCGAGCCCCUGGAUUGCAGGGCACAGAGGGCCCAGACGGUGAAGGUUCCCGUCGUGAAGCAUUUCGGGGGCGGGGGGCGGCCUUGAAAGAUUUCGCUGCCGUUCCUCCCCACUGGUGACUUCUCCACCUGUAGGCGGCGGCGGCGCGAGACAGUGGCGGGUGCGGGUGGGAGGAGCGGGUUUCCAAAAUCCCCUUUUACAUUUCUGAUUAGGGUAGCUCGCUGCACCGCCCGCAGCCCCCAGGGAGCCCUUUCCUCGGGAAAGGAAAGGUGAGCCGCCUUGGGCAGCAGAAGAUCCUAGAACGUGCGCCGUCAAAGGGGCAGAGAGGACCUAGGCGGCCUUAGAAACGCUUAGGGGCCCAGGAGCGUGCUAAGGCUUUUCCCAGCCCGCCGUCCUUUGGACCAGGACAGCUCGGGGCUUCUCCGAGAGGAAAUGUUUAUGUGGUCCCCAGUGCCCGCUAGCCAGCGCUCUGACCCCUUGGCCCACUUGUUCUCCAAACACCGCAAAGCGAGGGGCGCAUCCCGGAGAAUAGAAACCUGGGAUUUCCCCAGCCUAGGAGAGAGAAGGCUCGGUCUCCCUCCCCACCCCCGCCCGAAGUGUCAAGUUUCUUCUAGGGGAGGGGGUGGGCUGCGAGGUCUGCCUUCGCGCGCGGCCCAGGCUGCAAAAUCGACUCUCCCCCCUCGGCGGACAAGGCCGCGCGCGCGCACACACACACAACACACUCAUGCACAUUCACACAAACACAUGCACAGACACACGCACCGGCGUGCUUCCGAGACACCGGCGGAGAAGACUGCUGGCCGCGCGCACUUUCCGAGCUUCCCGACGGGCGGGGCGCGCGGGGCGGGGCGCGCGGGCAGCGGAGAAAUUGAUAACAGAUUCGGCGGAUUACAGCGGAUCUCUUUGUUAGAGGCGAAGCCACACAUACCGAACCGACUUUGGGCCGGAAGACCCCGGGGAGAGUCCGCCCGUUCCCAGCUAGGAGUGGGCCAUUGGGUCUACGAGACUCGGUCUCCCCAGCUCCAUACUGGGGAUAGGCCAGCUGUGUCCCAAAGGGGAUCGGGCAGGAGAGCCUCGCGAGUCGCGUCUCCACUUAACCCCGCGCGCUUGCCCGGAAACACCUUGGCCUUCCUCCCGCUCCAAUCCCCAUGCAACCCCCAAAAAAGGCCCCACAAGUUUGAAGCACUGAAAGAAUCCACAGCGAAGUAAUAAAUACAUCGACUUUGUAGGGUAAACACCCCUGCCUGUUUACCAAGAGAUCUGAACCGAAAAGACCGUACGAAACGAGACCUCUCUGGACACUGUCACACCAGGGCUAAAACAAAAGUUCUGCGCAGAGACUGAGUUUACCAAAGAACGGGCUGAAUGUUUUCGGACACUUCCAGGGCCCGGCGAAACUCACUAAUGUACGGAUCCUCAGAAUCUGUUCCUAGCGUGCGAUGGGGAGGGGGAUUUCGGGUACUUGAGAGGUUCUAGCCCAAGGGAGGGGUGAGGUGGGGGUAGGGCGUUCCUGCGCCCUUGUUUCCAAAGUCAGAGCAGCUCAACGCAGUGAUGCUUACUCGGUAUCUCCCAAAGCCUUAGCAUUGGAUUGAGGUGUGCCUAAACCUUCUUUAUCAACUGGGGUGCAGGCGGGGGGGGGGGGGGACGGGGGUGAAGAGGGGUGAGAGAGGGGAAACCAUCACUCUGGUUAGAAGAGGUUCCUGGGUCACAGAAAGCUUCCCUACCACGCGCAGCACCCAAAUCCUCGGCCCCACCGCCCCUAAAGAGAAAUUCCGCAAAGGCAGGGAGAAGAUUCUCGACCCUUGGCCACUGGUGCUACCUCACUCGGUCUGGGCAUGCCCUUCCACUAGGCUUUUUGCGUCCAGAGUGCCCCCCCGCCCCCCCCAAGUCUGUGAAAAUGGAAAUGAUGAGGGAGACCAGCGAGGAGUCUGAAAUGUACGACCUGGGCUCACGGUGGCUAAAAGGAUAGGACACUCCAAGAAUGCCAGCUCUUGGUGGGAAAUAGACUUUGUCUUCCCCACUGUGAUCUCUCCUUGAAGGAGAGAAACAGAAAAUUGCGGAAGAUAAGAGGCAUCAACCACAGCAUUGGGACGCCUUGCUCCAGGAAAUGCAGAGAGAAGCGGAGCGGAUAAGGAUGAGCAAGCCCAGGCGGACAGGAGAUCUGCUUUGGGGGAGCAGGCAAGGAGGGAGCAAUCCCUCACUCCCCUAGCCUGGGAGCCGGGUGUCCCAGGCUGCCCCUCGCAGCUGCCAAAGAACGGUGUCUGCUGCGCUCCAAGUGUGUGGUAUGUGUAGGGGGUGGGGGGUGUAGGGAAGCCAGACAGAGAAGGUGGUGGGAGCUCCUUGCGCCCAAAUCAGUGCAAGGAUUGCCCAGGCUCAGGACUGAACCGCAGGUCCCUUAACAAGGACUCUCCAAAGGCAGAAUUGUGGCCAAGCCCGGCUCUGUUCCCUGUCUCCCCACUUCCAUCCCCUGGACAAGUCUCUCCAGACUUCAAGACUCUCUCUUUAUCCUCGCACACACGUAUCACUUCCACCUUCUCACACAGGUUGUCUAACUCCUAGCACAGGUUCUCAACUCUAUCCAGAAGAACAUAGUGUCCAGUGGAAGGAGAAAACACUAAAGAUCAGUUCAACCCCUAUCCUUCAGAGGCAGUUUGAACUCCACUUUUUAAUAGACGAAGAAAUUGAGGCCGAGAAAGAGAAAGCAACACUUGUCACCUCCCACUGACGGCACUGGUCAGAGCGCAGAAGCCGGACCCUAGGCCUCCUAGGGCGACGCUCCCGUUCCUUCACCCUGGUGAGGAGGUAAACCCUUCCUCCACACGCCCUAGCCCGGUUUGCUGGAUGGGACCUCUGGCCCCUUCCGUACGGCGGCGGCCGCGCAUUGCAGCUUGUCCUCUGGGAGUCUCGGAGAGGCCCUCCUGGGAGGGGAGAACCUGGUGGUCGGGAAGAACCAACGGAGCCAGAGGUGGGAGGGAGAGGAGAGCGGCUGCCUACCGGCCCCAAAGAACAGACUCCCAGGUGUCCUACCUCAAGGCAGCCAACAGGGGGCAGUCGGCACCGCACGGCGAGGAUGAAAAGGCAGCGGGACAAGCAGAACUCCGCGCGCACGGGCACGGAUCUACACACUCGGGACAGAAUUUCCGCGGCCUCUCCAUCGCUUGCGCGCACUCAGCAUUGCCCCCUCGAAACUCCCCUGGCAGAGGCUUUCUAGAAACGAAAUCUCCAUUAUCAGGCUGGAGCAGCCUGAAUAUUGGCGGGAGGGCAGGGUCUGUAGGUGUGAUCCCAACCCAGCCUCCAAGUGACUUCCCAAACAUCGAGUUGUCCAUUUAAAGACGCAAGAGGAGAAGGCGCCCCGAUGCCAAACUGGACUUGUAAAGUAAAACAAGGCCGCGGGGUCUCCAGGUUUCGGGUUCUUUUUAAACUUUUUUUUGGUGGGGGAUGGAGGGGGGAUUUGUUUGUUUUCGAAAAUAUCUUCUAAUUCCAACCUUAUUUUCAAGAAAAGUAAAACAGAUCAAGAAGAGUGGAAAUAAGGAUCGAAACUUGGAGGACAGGGAUAGGAGAAGUUGUUUGCAAAAUAGCAAGUUAUAUUGCAGGAAGAAAUGUUAACUUUUCGCAAAAGUGAA